rnacentral:lncRNA from 1 species
UCUUUGUUUCACCACUGAAUUUAUUAGAAAGUAUUUUAGUUUAUCUAUAUUACAAAUAAUGUAAUUCUCAGUUUCAGAUAAGCCUCUGCCUGGAAACAACAGUAUUUAUAAAUUAUUACCUUCAGCAGUUUGGUGAUGAAGACCCGUAGCAGGAUGGUAGUAGUGUCAGAGGCGAGAAGAGGGUGUAUUCGAGAGAUAUUGCAAGAUAAAAUCAACAAGCCUUGGCAACAGAUUGAAUAUGGGAGUUGAAGGAGAGUGAGUAGAGGAGACCACCUGAAAUCUGAACCUGUCAUCUGUAAAAGGACCUUCCAGAUCCAACGGAUGUCUCAUUCAAUCAACUUCACUAGGAGAAAAAAAAUGGUUUUCUUAUUCUCGUGGCCUUUGAUUUUUCCUCAGAGUUUCUGCUAGUUAGUUGGAAACCAGGGGCUCGCAGUGGCAAAGCUAAGCUAGGACUUGGAGGCUUCUGGCAGGCGAGGCGGGUGGAGGAGGAAGGAGGCUGACAGAUCCACUGGGGGGAAGAAAAGCCGAACUGGAUUCACCGUGUCCUGGAUGGAAAAGGAGGAGGAGGAAGAGGAGGAGGAGGAGAGGAGGAGGAGGAGGAGGACAGAGAGGGGAACCGCGGAGCUCCUUCAACUCGCGCUGUCCGGUGAGAAGUGAGCAAGCAGGGACUGAUAGGAGGCUCCGGGAGCCCUCGCCUCCUUUCGCUUUUUUACCUGCCAAUCAAACCGCUACAAGACAACACCCUGAUCUGGCAUGGACAUCGCGGGUCGGAGACUGUAACCCCAAUUCGGAUAAUGUCUCCAGCCAAGGAGCAUCCAGGCAGCCACCAUUUGAAGGAAGAAACCAGCCGUCUCUGAGCUUUGCUUUGUCGGGUCUGUAUUCCAAGAUUCACAAGAAAUCAGGAUAA